AGAGAGAGAGAGAGAGAGAGAUUUAGGGGUAUUUUUGAUAUUGCACAGUUUAAGUGAGAUUUAGGUGAGAAUUGAUUUUGAAAUCAGACCAAAGUAAGUCUGAUUUGUAAAU